UACGGAGAGUGCAAGCAUUACUCGGAAUUAUUGGGCGUAAAGGGCGCGUAGGCGGGAGAAUAAGUCAGAUGUGAAAUUCCAAAGCUCAACUUUGGAGCUGCAUUUGAAACUAUAAUUCUAGAGGAUUGACGGGGAAAACGGAAUUCCACGUGUAGCGGUGAAAUGCGUAGAUAUGUGGAAGAACACCUGUGGCGAAAGCGGUUUUCUAGUUAAUACCUGACGCUGAGGCGCGAGAGCAAGGGGAGCAAACAGG
rnacentral:rRNA from 1 species